CCCCCUCAGUCCACCCCUUCAUUACGUUCCACGCCCCCUCAGUCCACCCCUUUACCUCAGUCCUCACCUUCAUUACGUUCCACGCCCCCUCAGUCCACCCCUUUACCUCAGUCCUCACCUUCAUUACGUUCCACGCCCCCUCAGUCCACCCCUUUACCUCAGUCCUCACCUUCAUUACGUUCCACGCCCCCUCAGUCCACCCUUUACCUCAGUCCUCACCUUCAUUACGUUCCACGCCCCCUCAGUCCACCCCUUCAUUACGUUCCACGCCCCCUCAGUCCACCCCUUUACCUCAGUCCUCACCUUCAUUACGUUCCACGCCCCCUCAGUCCACCCCUUUACCUCAGUCCUCACCUUAUUAGGUUCCACGCCCCCUCAGUCCACCCCUUUACCUCAGUCCUCACCUUCAUUACGUUCCACGCCCCCUCAGUCCACCCCUUUACCUCAGUCCUCACCUUCAUUACGUUCCACGCCCCCUCAGUCCACCCCUUUACCUCAAUUCUCACCUUUAUUAGGUUCCACGGCCCCUCAUGCCACACCUUUACCUCGGUUCUCACCUUUAUUAGGUUCCACGGCCCCUCAUGCCACACCUUUACCUCAGUUCUCACCUUUAUUAGGUUCCACGGCCCCUCAUGCCACACCUUUACCUCAGUUCUCACCUUUAUUAGGUUCCACGGCCCCUCAUGCCACACCUUUACAUCAGUCCUCACCUUCACUACGUUCCACGCCCCCUCAGUCCACCCCUUUACCUCAGUCCUCACCUUCAUUACGUUCCACACCCCCUCAGUCCACCCCUUUACCUCAGUCCUCACCUUCAUUACGUUCCACGCCCCCUCAGUCCACCCCUUUACCAUGUUCUACACCUUUACCAAGUUCCACACCGCUACCUCAGUCCACUCCUUUACCCCGUUCUGUUAUUGUUGAGAUUACAGUACUUAUAUUAGAAGGCUUUUAAAAUCACAUUGUGUAUUUGGGAACUCCAUGUGGACUCCUCUCUCCUCUCACAGCUAUUCAGAGUACAUACAACUCUAAACAAAAAUAAAGACCAUUAAACCAAAUAUGAUGAUUGGACCACAUAAUUUAAAUCAAACAUUCAAACUGUUCCUCAAUCAUCUAUUCUAACUUACAGAAACCAUCCUGCCUUUUCUGACUUUUACCUUCAUUACACCACAUGAAAUUUGGCCUUUUCUUGCCUUUGAUUAAAUAUUUUUUUACACUAAACUUAGCCAGGCUAGAUGUUCUAUCCUGGCUAAUUCAUUUAACUAAAUUCAUUUAGCACAAAAAUAAUCUGGUAGUGAAGAUUACUCACUACCUAACACAAUUAGCUGUAGCUUGUGAUAUCUGCUGAGGAGAAAUGAAUAACGAUGAAAACAUAGUCAAUCCUUAAAUCUAUGUAUGCCACAAUGCAUCAUGGGUUGCCUUUUGUGGAAAAGGGGCAAUAUUGUAAAGUAUACAGGUUUAGAAACACAUUACAAACUUCAUCUUUAAACUUCAGUGAAGGUUUGAAAUCCACUUGAAUUCUUAAAUAAAUGCAAAAUAAGCUGCACCAUCUACAUGCUUACAUUUAAAAUGCAGACACACCUUUAACCCUUUAAUGUGCAGGUGUGGGAUGUGUACCGGGUUCGAACCAGUUCUGUUGCGUGGUGUGUUUAUGCGCUAAUCCUGGCAGGAGUGCGUUUUUUCCCUAUCUAACCCUGGAAAUCCCCAGGAGGAGUGAGAGCAAAGCACAUAACCUUACGCUUUCACUUCUCUCAUUACACUCACAUGUAGUCUGUGUGACUCUAACAAUAGCCUACAUUCUGUGUACACACAGGUGGAUCUAGCACUCUGAAGGGUUCUUAGAGGUUGUGUAUAGAAAAACAGUUCCACUGGAAAGCUAGAACCAAGUGUUCUGGGGUCUACACAUUAAAAUAAGAAGUGUGUUUAGAUUCUUUGUCGUUCUGUGAGGAGAACGCGGAACAAUAACGAGGUUUAAUGCACCUGGGAAAUGUUUUUAAGAUCUCUUAUAACGUUAAGACAUUUGUAUAAAUCUAAAAUACCCGUGCAAAUCAUCGCACCAGCACGAUAUAGACUGAGGCUCAAUUUAUUAUAAAAAAAUAAUACAUGUAAAGGAAAGUUGGGCUUCAUGCUCUACUUAUGAGCCUGUAUUAUUAUUUUUUAUAUAUAUAUACACCCCCCCCCGUAUAAAUAAAUAAAUAAAUAAAUAAAUAAAUAAAUAAAUAGUUAUAAAUAUUGCGUGUCCCCGCCCACCACCAUUGCGCGCUCGCGCUCGCGCACGCGACUUCCCACGCACGCGCUUGUAAACAAUCAUCCGCUCGCCUUUUAAACAGAAUGUAUAAGCAACAUGGCGCCUGUGGAACCAUCAUCAUCAUCACCACCACACACACACACACACACACAGAGAGAGAGGAUCUACUGUAUUUGUGUGAAGUCUAAAAUGAUUGUGAAUGUUCUCGACAGAAACGCCCCUUUAAUGGCUUUAAAAUGGCAGCCUGCUUAUUACCUUCACUCUGAGAGAAAAAAAAAUAAUGAAUUAAAAACACAAGCUUAGUGUAAAAUCCAGAUAAAUGUAAUCAAUCCGUAAAUAAGAAACUUUUAGGCUGCAUGUUAUUUUAUUUUACACCCUGAUGCUUGAGGAGAGUUUUACAUGUAGAUUUGAUCAGGGAUUAUAUUCAGAGCAGCUCCACUUCCUCAAAGACAACUUUGCUGUUGUUACACCCAGAAUCUCUCUCUCUCUCUCUCUCUCUCUCUCUCUCUCACACACACACACACACACACACACACACGCAACAAAAUGUUACAAAACACUUCCGCUUUAGUCUUUAUUCCGCCUUCUGUAAUUAUCCAAAGUGUUGAAAUGUAAAGCUGUGAAUCCUCAGGUCAGCUCCAGAACCCGAAAAUAAGACAACAACAAUAACAAUAACAACAGUUCCCAGAUCAGAAGCGCGUUCAGCCCCUGUACCAUUUCCGCUCAACACACCUCUCUGAUUCUAAUCUCAUUUAAUGCAAUAUUCUAUUAGAAUACAGUACAAUCAGGGAUAUUAUGCUGUAAUAUAAUGUGCAGCAUGCAAAGCAAGGAGAAAUCACCUAAAGGUCUGAGAUUUAGAAUGAAGGAGAAUAAACAACACAAACACAACCCAACACACUUACCCAUCCAUCUCACAGCAGAGCAGCCUGAGGCGAGGAGAAACAGCAGUGUGGACAUGAGGAGGAGGACAAAAAGCUGCAGAAUCAGAGCUGUGUGUGCUGUGUCCGGUCCAGUCUAGCUCCAAGUCCCGGUCCGGUCCAGGUCCACUCCCACAGACACACAAUUUCACUCCGCUGUGAACACAAAGGCAGCAGCAGCGACACUUCCUGCUCCUGACGCUCAGCGCACUAAUAACACUGGCAUGCACGCGCACUACAAAAUGGCCUCCUCCUCU
ensembl:lncRNA